UAUAUAUUAUUUACUAUUUACUAUUAAUUCAGUUCCAUUCAGUUUAGUUCAGUUCAACUCUAUUCAGUUCAGUUUAGUUCAGUUUAGUUUAGCUCCAUUCAGUUCAGUUCAGUUCAGAUAAUUUCAGUUCAGUUCAGUUCAGUUCAGCUCCAUUCAGUUCAGUUAAGUUCAAUUCAAUUCAGUUCAGUUCAGCCAAAUAAAGUUCAGCUACAUUUGAUUCAAGUCAUUGUCUACAAUCAAGACCCUUACACAUCCAAAGCUGCUAAGAUGAGCUCUACUAGCUCUUACAAACCACUUACAACGCAAAAAUAUUAAAGUUACAGAGAUAGUAAUCGUCUUGUAAUGUGGCUCUCGAUUGUUGAAGUCAUCGUCCACACUUCUAAUUCUUCUUUCACUUAGGCCAAAACUUGGGCAAUGAACACUAUGGAGAACCCCUUUAAACCCGUAGCAUUCAAAGGACAAAGAAAGACACGAAAGGACGGCAAGAUGACGAAAUGGUUGACACGACCUUAUGAGCAGAAGCUCAAUAACAAACUGAGUGAACAUGCUAUGAACCCCCAAAAACAUUUGGGGAGCAGUCUUCGGAUAAGAAAUUUUGAAUCCAAAGAGAAUAUACCUCUUUGCAGACCUAAAAAGAGCAACCACAUCUCGCAAACACCAAACACUCCUUCCAUAGACACUUCUACAAACUCCUUCCUUCAUCCUAGGACCUAACAUACCACUUUCAAGGGUGGUAUAAACAGUAGGAGCAAUACUGUUGUGAGAUCUUUUACGGUGAUGACGUGUCACGCGUUCCUCGAAGGUAUCAACUAUGAGCUGGCACGAACUUCUGGCAACCUGCAAAAUAAGAAUAUUCCCGUAGGAAUAUUCCCUCCGAUGCUUAAGUAAGUAUAUGCUAGAGAGAGAAGUAAUUUUAGAGAGAAGGCAGAGCAAAGGUAGUUUUAAGGUAGGUGGGAAUGAAUUGAUUGCCCUUCUACCUAGGGAUCUGCACUAUUUAUAGUGCUAGGGUUUCUUAGGAAUUGGUCCCUCAUAGAUGCAUGAUUGGGUGCUUUGUAAGAUUGGGACACGUGUCCGCUAUAUUGGAGACUUUGUUUAGGCCCGGUGGGCCUCUUGAGCAUUUGGGCUUUUUGGGUAUAGCGGAUCAGGAUCUUCCUGAGCAGAUGGGUCUCAUGACCUACUGAUGGGCCUUGGACCUGGAGGUGUGUGUGAGUUUAUGAGACGAUUCGCGGUUUGUUGUGCUUUCAUUUGGUGUUCUUGGAUUCUUCAUUCAGUGUUCUUGGAGCGUGGACGAUUUUGUUCAGCCUUUCUGUCAGUUUGAUCACUCUUUGGACGGCAUGGCUCGAAUUAGGCAAACAACCAACGUGGGUGCAUGGGCAGCGUCGCGAGAGAGGGACAACAUAGUUCCUUUUUCGAGCCCGUCCCAGGGAAAUAGGGGUGGAGUCAGCUCCUCCCAUCAUUCGGGAGACGGGGCUGUAAGGGCGGCACGUUCUUCAAGGAGAAGGAAGAGCGUGGCUCGCCGUCCUCGUGUUCCUCGUGAGGAUUUUGAGGAUGACUCCUCUAGUUCUUCUGACGAGGAGUUUGCAAAAUACCUUCCUCCUAUGGUUCAGGGAAAAGAAGAUGUAGAUUUGCUUCCUUCUGACAUCUUUCCCAGCAUGAAAUGGCUGAGGUAUCUGAUGAGUGACAUUUAUGUCACUCCUAGGGGGUAGUUUUUAAGUAUUUUUUAGGUUAUUUUAUAAUUUAUUUGUCUAAUUUUAUCAUUUUUAGCUUUUACUUAUUUUAUUUUAUAUUGUGUAGCUUAAUUAGCGUAAUUAGUGAUUUUUCUUUGUUUUUAGGUCUAAUUUCGCAAUUUAGUUAUUUUAUUUGUUUUAUCAUUUUAUAGUUUAAUUAUAGUUUCGUUAUUAUUUUUCUAAUCUAUUUCUAUUUAGUUAUUAUUAUUUACUUUUUUAUAUUUAUUUAUUUUCAGUUUAUUUUUAUUUCGUGAUUUUCCCUCGUGUUUGUUUUUAUGUGUGUAGGUGGCCGAGUACUUUGAGGUCGGACACGAGUUCAACAAUCGAGUUAAUUGGGUCAACUUGUCAAAGAACUAGAGAAUUGAAUUAUGGACAAUGUAGUUUGUGGGCCUCAAAACUUGGGCCAAACUGCUGCCAAGAAUUGUGCAACAUUCCUCUCCUAUCCUACACCACCUCCUCUCCUAUCCUACACCACCACCUACACCACCCUACUCAGCGCCAAUCAGCCACGCAUCUCCUUCCGUCCAACUUCUCACCUCCAUUCAAACACCAAACAACGCAGCCCAACCUGCCUUCCCUCGCCUUCAACCACCGUCAACCACCUGCCGCCAUCCACGCAGCCACCAUAGCUACGAUAUCCGCGCCAACUUCGCACAACCAAGAAUCGACCAUCAUCGCCACCCAACAUCAACUACAACAGCUAAACAACACACAACCAAUCAAAAUCACAGCCAAAAUUCGCCCAAAACUGCAACUAAUUGCAUCGAUAAAACAGGGCAAAACAGAGAAAAAGCAGAGCCUAUUGGUUCGGUCGGACCCGUAUAUUAGUUCGGCGGAACCCAAAAUUUUUGAGUUCCUGACAAGGUCGGGUCCGGACGAACAUUCCUUGAGUUCGCCCAAACUAGAAACGGGUUCGCCCGAACCUCCAUUAAAGUUCGACCGAACUUUUGGGCGCUCAAUUGUUGUACGGAAUUAAUGAAAUUGAGCGGCUGCGAUUUGAUCGAGUAAUGGACGAUGGAUGAUGCGAUUUUGAUUGAUUUGAGCAGCGAUUUUGAUGAUGGUCGAGAUGAUAAUGAUCGUUGAUGGUGAUGACCGUUGAUGAUGAAUAACAACUGCUGAUGGUGAACGGUUGAUGAUUGAUGUGGGAUGAUGGUGGACGAGGAUGAUGAAAGUAGGGGAGCGCAGCGAAGCCACGAAAGAGACAAAGAGGAGGGGUCUGAUGAUUGUGGGCUGGAGUAGCAGCGAAAGUGAAGACGAAGAAAAUCACGGGUCUGAUGGAUUCAUUGGGCUCCUUUUACCUUUCUUCCUUUUUAUAAUUAUUUCUCUUUCUCUUUUUCUUUUUUUUCUUUUGUUUAAUUCUUAUUUUUUCUUUUCUUUCUUUCUUUUAAUUUCACUUCUUUUGAUUUUUAUCCUUUUUCUUUUGAUUUUCUUUUUCUAUUUUUCUUAAUUAGCUUGAAUGAUAUAAAUACCCAAUUUUUGGGUCAAAGAAACCAUGUAAAUAAUUAGUUUAGUUCUUCUUUCUCUUAGGGUUUAGGGUUUUUCUUGAGUUUAGUUUCUAUUUUCUAAGAGUGAGAAAGUGAUGAAAAAUCAUUGAAAAUGGAGGAUUAUGGAUAAUACAAGAAGAUUUGAAGCAUUCAUUCAUCAAUCAAUGAGAAUUUUCUA